UCAUUUUAUAUCUCGUGAGUGAAGAUUAACCAAAGGGACAAUCAUAUUUUCCUGAAAGGAGACAUCUAGUAAUUAUGGACAAAUGCUAGAGGAUGGAGAAGUCACCACUGUUUCUGAUAAUCAUUAAAAAACUGUGCCCAAUCAUUUAUAUUUCUAAACUAACCUUCCAGCUAUGUCAGAAAGCUCUUUAGUGGCUGAUAACUUGUUCAGUAGCUAAAAAUACUGCCAAGGCAUCACUCUCCAUGUUAUAAAGCUAUUUCCUGUUGCUGUUCUAUAGCUAACAUAUAUGUACCUUAGCUGUAAAAUUAGGUGGAGAAAGGAAUGGCCUACAUGUAUUCUCUUACAACAACUUAUCUAGCACAAUAAGCUUAUGGUAACAUCAGUUGUCUCUCCUAUUGAUUUAUUCUUUCUAUAUAGAAGGAUAUGUUUCCUUUUUUCCUCUGAAACCUCUAGGAAUUCAUAAUUCAUGGAGUGUGUUCACACUGUCCUAUCAACCCUUUGCAAGUCACUGUUUGCCACGUCUAGAGACAUAUUCAUUUGUAGGUAUGCUUUCUCAUAAUACAAAUCCAGCAGAAUCUUUUUAGAAAUGUCUGCAUUUGAUGAUGACGUUUUUUUCACUGACUUCUCUCUUGGAGAUCAGUCAGCGUGUUCUCAAGCCAUUUAAUAUAUGCCCCACUGAUAAUGUGUAGAGUUCGUUUUUUCAUCUGAAUAUCACGUGGUGUCAAGGCAAACAUCUUAAUAAAUGUAAGUACUCAUAUAUUAUUGAGUGCAUAUAUAUGAUUAAAUCACAUAAGAAAAUCAAAUUAGUUUUAUGAGCUGUUCUUAUAAAACUAUAUUGACUAGUGUUAAUUAUAAUUCUACCUUUAAUUUUCAUUAACUGAAUCUUAUAACAGCUUUGGGACUUCUCUGCUGGAGAGUGAUAUCAGAUUAACAGACCUGUAGUUACUUAGAUAAUCCCUUUUUACUCACUGAAUAUCAUUGAGAAAUAAACCUUAUUCCAUAUUAAUGCAUCUUAAGAUUUAUUUUCAGCAACCAUCAGAAUUCUGAGGAUCAUAGAGAUUUCUUUCAGGACUCCUGGCUGCAAGUUGCUUCAGAUUUAAGUUACUUAAAAAUUUGGAUUUUCAAGUAUUUAGCCAGUUGAUUCCCUGGGCUGUCAUGUUCUCUGCCCAACAUGACAUUUGUCUCCCUUGGCUUAUGAGUGACUGUUCUCACAUCCACCUGGCAGGUUGUUCUCAGGUGACUUUUCUAUUUGGCCGUCUGCCUAGAAGCAUUGGUGGGAAGCCAACUAGUGGGAGAGCCAAACAGCUGUCUUGCAGGUGGGACUAAUGCAAGCUCCUUGGAUGAUUUCGUUAGGAACCAGGUAACUGGAAUCAUUCUAUUUUGCAGAAGAGUAAGUUUACAACACAGAAUUAAAUGUCAAUCACCUUGAAUUUCUCAUCAAAUACAAAUUCCUUUUUUUCUGGCCAGGUCGUGGUAUAUUAUUUCAUGUGCAGGCAAAAAUGAAAGAAAAAGUAACCCCAUAAAUCAAGGAAACAAAAAGAAAAGAAACAUCUUCCAAGUUAUAUGGAAAAUAUAAAACAUAGUAAGCAGAAAAAUUUAAGAAGGGAAAGCAUCUACUGUUGCCCCCUCAACACAAGCUUUAUGAUGUCAGAUCUAGGGUGCCAGAACCUUCUCAUUUGACUUGAAACAUUAUUUCACACAUUUCUUGAAAUUUUAUCUACUUGAUAGGCAAUCUGUCAGAAAAGAGAGAGAAAAAACAUUCAGGCAAUCUCUCUUCUGCCUCCUAAAUCCACUAGUAAUAACUAGAAGGAAAUACUGGAUUUCUGUAGGUAACAAUAUUUUCAUGCAAUUGAAAGAACAAACAACAAACAGGAGUCAGAUGAAAUGCCUAAUUUUCAAUAAUUAGGGUUUAGCCUAUAUCAGUCACUUGAAAUUUCCUUUGAAAAUCUUAAAUAAAUGCUGAGAAAUACGAGUC
ensembl:lncRNA